AACAAUUUGGUGAUUCAAUUUGACAAUUGUCAAAAGAUGAGCACUUAAAUGGUCAUCAUUGAUGCUCAAUUGACACUUUUUCAGAACAAAAAUUUCUCCAUGAUAUUAGUUAUUUGUAAUACAGGAUCGAGGCAGUAUUAUUGUAUUAGUGGCUCAAGGCUUUACAAUCAUCAAAUUCUCCAUGUAUGUUCCUCAGGUUAGAAAUAUCUUUAUUAAUAGAUCGAUCAAUGAAAACCUAUCGACUUAUUUAUUUGCAGCAGUAUUAUUUCUGUUUAUCCUUUCACAUAUCGCCUAUUUUAAUGCCAGGGGAUCCAACAGAAUCACAGAAGGGUCAGAAUCUUCAAAAUUAAAUUUGAGUUUGCUGAUGAUACAAAUGCCUCAACAAGGAGUCUCAUAAUUGAUUCAGCAAGAACCAGUUGGUACCUGAUGGAAGCUUCCUAUGGUUGUGAUCAUU
rnacentral:lncRNA from 1 species